AUGAACGCUGGCGGCGUGCCUCAUACAUGCAAGUCGAGCGAACAGACGAGGAGCUUGCUCCUCUGACAUUAGCGGCGGACGGGUGAGUAACACGUGGAUAACCUACCUAUAAGACUGGGAUAACUUCGGGAAACCGGAGCUAAUACCGGAUAAUAUAUUGAACCGCAUGGUUCAAUAGUGAAAGACGGUUUUGCUGUCACUUAUAGAUGGAUCCGCGCCGCAUUAGCUAGUUGGUAAGGUAACGGCUUACCAAGGCGACGAUGCGUAGCCGACCUGAGAGGGUGAUCGGCCACACUGGAACUGAGACACGGUCCAGACUCCUACGGGAGGCAGCAGUAGGGAAUCUUCCGCAAUGGGCGAAAGCCUGACGGAGCAACGCCGCGUGAGUGAUGAAGGUCUUCGGAUCGUAAAACUCUGUUAUUAGGGAAGAACAAAUGUGUAAGUAACUAUGCACGUCUUGACGGUACCUAAUCAGAAAGCCACGGCUAACUACGUG
rnacentral:rRNA from 1 species